GAGGAAGGAGGGGGGCGUGCCUAAUACAUGCAAGUAGAACGCUGAAGGAAGGAGCUUGCUCUUUCCGGAUGAGUUGCGAACGGGUGAGUAACGCGUAGGUAACCUGCCUGGUAGCGGGGGAUAACUAUUGGAAACGAUAGCUAAUACCGCAUAACAGUAGAUGUUGCAUGAUAUCUACUUAAAAGGUGCAAUUGCACCACUACCAGAUGGACCUGCGUUGUAUUAGCUAGUUGGUGAGGUAACGGCUCACCAAGGCGACGAUACAUAGCCGACCUGAGAGGGUGAUCGGCCACACUGGGACUGAGACACGGCCCAGACGCCUACGGGAGGAAGCAGUAGGGAAGCUUCGGCAAUGGACGGAAGUCUGACCGAGCAACGCCGCGUGAGUGAAGAAGGUUUUCGGAUCGUAAAGCUCUGUUGUAAGAGAAGAACGAGUGUGAGAGUGGAAAGUUCACACUGUGACGGUAUCUUACCAGAAAGGGACGGCUAACUACGUG
rnacentral:rRNA from 1 species